GACGAACGCUGGCGGCGUGCUUAACACAUGCAAGUCGAACGGAAAGGCCCUGCUUUUGUGGGGGUGCUGGUGGGGCGAACGGGUGAGUAAAACGUGGGUAACCUUCCCUUUACUUUGGGAUAACUUUAGGAAACUGGGGCUAAUACCGGUAAGGUGUUCUUGCUCCAUGGUGGGGGUUGGAAAGUUUCGGCGGUUGGGGAUGGACUCGCGGCUUAUCAGCUUGUUGGUGGGGUAGUGGCUUACCAAGGCUUUGACGGGUAGCCGGCCUGAGAGGGUGACCGGCCACAUUGGGACUGAGAUACGGCCCAGACUCCUACGGGAGGCAGCAGUGGGGAAUAUUGCACAAUGGGCGGAAGCCUGAUGCAGCAACGCCGCGUGCGGGAUGACGGCCUUCGGGUUGUAAACCGCUUUCGCCUGUGACGAAGCGUGAGUGACGGUAAUGGGUAAAGAAGCACCGGCUAACUACGUG
rnacentral:rRNA from 1 species